rnacentral:rRNA from 1 species
UACGAAGGGGGCUAGCGUUGCUCGGAAUUACUGGGCGUAAAGGGAGCGUAGGCGGGUUAUCAAGUUGGAGGUGAAAGCCCAGGGCUCAACCUUGGAAUUGCCUUCAAAACUGAUAGCCUAGAGUAUGGUAGAGGUAAGUGGAACUCCGAGUGUAGAGGUGAAAUUCGUAGAUAUUCGGAAGAACACCAGUGGCGAAGGCGAGUCUCUGGACAAUUCCUGACGCUGAGGCACGAAAGCUAGGGGAGCAAACAGG